rnacentral:tRNA from 1 species
GCCGAUGUAGCUCAGAUGGUAGAGCAACCUCCUUGUAAGAGGAUGCGCGCUGGUUCGAGUCCUGUCGUCGGCACCA